rnacentral:ribozyme from 1 species
UGCCCAGCAACUCCUAUCCCUACCUCCUCGUGGUACCGGCGGAAACUAUGAGCAACCUAAGGGAAGAUCGGGUAACCAACCCCGGAGGGAACUUUUAUCAUAUGCUGACAGGGAAGG